rnacentral:sRNA from 1 species
AGGUAGCGGGUCAUAGUAUAAGAGGAGUACGCUCAUUUUUGAGAGGUCUUUGGUGCAAAUCCGAGUGCCCGUUACAAGACAGUACAGCAAUGUGCUGUCUUUUCUU